rnacentral:rRNA from 1 species
CAGUCGCCACGGUAAUACGUAGGGUGCGAGCGUUAAUCGGAAUUACUGGGCGUAAAGCGUGCGCAGGCGGUUCGUUAAGACAGAUGUGAAAUCCCCGGGCUUAACCUGGGAACUGCAUUUGUGACUGGCGAGCUAGAGUAUGGCAGAGGGGGGUGGAAUUCCGAGUGUAGAGGUGAAAUUCGUAGAUAUUCGGAAGAACACCAGUGGCGAAGGCGGCUCACUGGUCUGUAACUGACGCUGAGGAGCGAAAGCGUGGGGAGCGAACAGGAUUAGAGACCCGAGUAGUCCCUGUCUCUUAUAC